UAGUUUGACUGGGGCGGUCUCCUCCCAAAGCGUAACGGAGGAGCACGAAGGUUAGCUAAUCCUGGUCGGACAUCAGGAGGUUAGUGCAAUGGCAUAAGCUAGCUUGACUGCGAGCGUGACGGCGCGAGCAGGUGCGAAAGCAGGUCAUAGUGAUCCGGUGGUUCUGAAUGGAAGGGCCAUCGCUCAACGGAUAAAAGGUACUCCGGGGAUAACAGGCUGAUACCGCCCAAGAGUUCAUAUCGACGGCGGUGUUUGGCACCUCGAUGUCGGCUCAUCACAUCCUGGGGCUGAAGUAGGUCCCAAGGGUAUGGCUGUUCGCCAUUUAAAGUGGUACGCGAGCUGGGUUUAGAACGUCGUGAGACAGUUCGGUCCCUAUCUGCCGUGGGCGCUGGAGAAUUGAGGGGGGCUGCUCCUAGUACGAGAGGACCGGAGUGGACGCAUCACUGGUGUUCGGGUUGUCAUGCCAAUGGCACUGCCCGGUAGCUAAAUGCGGAAGAGAUAAGUGCUGAAAGCAUCUAAGCACGAAACUUGCCCCG
rnacentral:rRNA from 1 species